rnacentral:rRNA from 1 species
AGGCACACUGACACGUAGGUGAAGUGAUUUACUCAUGGAGCUGAAGUCAGUCGAAGAUACCAGCUGGCUGCAACUGUUUAUUAAAAACACAGCACUGUGCAAACACGAAAGUGGACGUAUACGGUGUGACGCCUGCCCGGUGCCGGAAGGUUAAUUGAUGGGGUCAGCGCAAGCGAAGCUCCUGAUCGAAGCCCCGGUAAACGGCGGCCGUAACUAUAACGGUCCUAAGGUAGCGAAAUUCCUUGUCGGGUAAGUUCCGACCUGCACGAAUGGCGUAAUGAUGGCCAGGCUGUCUCCACCCGAGACUCAGUGAAAUUGAACUCGCUGUGAAGAUGCAGUGUACCCGCGGCAAGACGGAAAGACCCCGUGAACCUUUACUAUAGCUUGACACUGAACAUUGAGCCUUGAUGUGUAGGAUAGGUGGGAGGCUUUGAAGUGUGGACGCCAGUCUGCAUGGAGCCGACCUUGAAAUACCACCCUUUAAUGUUUGAUGUUCUAACGUGGACCCGUAAUCCGGGUUGCGGACAGUGUCUGGUGGGUAGUUUGACUGGGGCGGUCUCCUCCUAAAGAGUAACGGAGGAGCACGAAGGUUGGCUAAUCCUGGUCGGACAUCAGGAGGUUAGUGCAAUGGCAUAAGCCAGCUUGACUGCGAGCGUGACGGCGCGAGCAGGUGCGAAAGCAGGUCAUAGUGAUCCGGUGGUUCUGAAUGGAAGGGCCAUCGCUCAACGGAUAAAAGGUACUCCGGGGAUAACAGGCUGAUACCGCCCAAGAGUUCAUAUCGACGGCGGUGUUUGGCACCUCGAUGUCGGCUCAUCACAUCCUGGGGCUGAAGUAGGUCCCAAGGGUAUGGCUGUUCGCCAUUUAAAGUGGUACGCGAGCUGGGUUUAGAACGUCGUGAGACAGUUCGGUCCCUAUCUGCCGUGGGCGCUGGAGAACUGAGGGGGGCUGCUCCUAGUACGAGAGGACCGGAGUGGACGCAUCACUGGUGUUCGGGUUGUCAUGCCAAUGGCACUGCCCGGUAGCUAAAUGCGGAAGAGAUAAGUGCUGAAAGCAUCUAAGCACGAAACUUGCCCCGAGAUGAGUUCUCCCUGAGACUUAGAGUCUCCUGAAGGAACGUUGAAGACGACGACGUUGAUAGGCCGGGUGUGUAAGCGCAGCGAUGCGUUGAGCUAACCGGUACUAAUGAACCGUGAGGCUUAACCUUACA